rnacentral:rRNA from 16 species
CGGUGGAUGCCUUGGCAUCAGGAGCCGAAGAAGGACGUGGGAAUCUGCGAUAAGCCUGGGGGAGUUGAUAACCGAACUUUGAUCCCAGGAUGUCCGAAUGGGGAAACCCCGCCCGGCGCGCGAGUGACCGGGUGACCCGUAUCUGAACACAUAGGGUACGUGGAGGGAACGUGGGGAAGUGAAACAUCUCAGUACCCACAGGAAGAGAAA